UGGGGAAUAUUGCACAAUGGGCGCAAGCCUGAUGCAGCCAUGCCGCGUGUGUGAAGAAGGCCUUCGGGUUGUAAAGCACUUUCAGCGGGGAGGAAGGCGAUAAGGUUAAUAACCUUGUCGAUUGACGUUACCCGCAGAAGAAGCACCGGCUAACUCCGUGCCAGCAGCCGCGGUAAUACGGAGGGUGCAAGCGUUAAUCGGAAUUACUGAGCGUAAAGCGCACGCAGGCGGUCUGUCAAGUCGGAUGUGAAAUCCCCGGGCUCAACCUGGGAACUGCAUUCGAAACUGGCAGGCUAGAGUCUUGUAGAGGGGGGGAGAAUUCCAGGUGUAGCGGUGAAAUGCGUAGAGAUAUGGGGGAAUACCGGUGGCGAAGGCGGCCCCCUGGACAAAGACUGACGCUCAGGUGCGAAAGCGUGGGGAGCAAACAGG
rnacentral:rRNA from 1 species